rnacentral:rRNA from 2 species
CUACACAUGCAAGUCGAACGAACUCUUCGGAGUUAGUGGCGGACGGGUGAGUAACACGUGGGAACGUGCCUUUAGGUUCGGAAUAACUCAGGGAAACUUGUGCUAAUACCGAAUGUGCCCUUCGGGGGAAAGAUUUAUCGCCUUUAGAGCGGCCCGCGUCUGAUUAGCUAGUUGGUAAGGUAAUGGCUUACCAAGGCUACGAUCAGUAGCUGGUCUGAGAGGAUGACCAGCCACAUUGGGACUGAGACACGGCCCAAACUCCUACGGGAGGCAGCAGUGGGGAAUCUUGCGCAAUGGGCGAAAGCCUGACGCAGCCAUGCCGCGUGUAUGAUGAAGGUCUUAGGAUUGUAAAAUACUUUCACCGGUGAAGAUAAUGACUGUAGCCGGAGAAGAAGCCCCGGCUAACUUCGUGCCAGCAGCCGCGGUAAUACGAAGGGGGCUAGCGUUGCUCGGAAUUACUGGGCGUAAAGGGAGCGUAGGCGGACAUUUAAGUCAGAGGUGAAAUCCCGGAGCUUAACUUCGGAACUGCCUUUGAUACUGGGUGUCUUGAGUGUGAGAGAGGUAUGUGGAACUCCGAGUGUAGAGGUGAAAUUCGUAGAUAUUCGGAAGAACACCAGUGGCGAAGGCGACAUACUGGCUCAUUACUGACGCUGAGGCUCGAAAGCGUGGGGAGCAAACAGGAUUAGAUACCCUGGUAGUCCACGCCGU